AGAGUUUGAUCCUGGCUCAGAUUGAACGCUGGCGGCAUGCUUUACACAUGCAAGUCGAACGGCAGCGGGGGCUUCGGCCUGCCGGCGAGUGGCGAACGGGUGAGUAAUGCAUCGGAACGUACCCAGUCAUGGGGGAUAACUACGCGAAAGCGUAGCUAAUACCGCAUACGCCCUGAGGGGGAAAGCGGGGGACCGCAAGGCCUCGCGUGAUUGGAGCGGCCGAUGUCGGAUUAGCUAGUUGGUGGGGUAAAGGCCUACCAAGGCGACGAUCCGUAGCGGGUCUGAGAGGAUGAUCCGCCACACUGGGACUGAGACACGGCCCAGACUCCUACGGGAGGCAGCAGUGGGGAAUUUUGGACAAUGGGGGCAACCCUGAUCCAGCCAUGCCGCGUGAGUGAAGAAGGCCUUCGGGUUGUAAA
rnacentral:rRNA from 1 species